rnacentral:rRNA from 1 species
UUGUCGAAACCUGCCAUGCAGAACAACCCGCGAACUAGUUUAAAAAUAGGGGAUGAUCUAGCCUCUUGGACAUGAUUAUUACCCAUUGUUAGUUGGAAUGUUGUUUGUGCUUGCACCUUUUCUCUGUGAAAGUGGUAAGCAUGAUGACAUUUCCCUGGCAAAAAUAACUAACCCAUGGCGCAGAUUGCGCCAAGGAACUCGAACGAAUGAGCGUGCUCUCCUUGGCCCGGAUAUGGUGUCCUUGUGAGGGUUAUGUUGUCUUCGAUAUGUAAAAAACGACUCUCGGCAACGGAUAUCUCGGCUCUCGCAUCGAUGAAGAACGUAGCGAAAUGCGAUACUUGGUGUGAAUUGCAGAAUCCCGUGAACCAUCGAGUCUUUGAACGCAAGUUGCGCCCAAAGCCAUCAGGCUGAGGGCACGUCUGCCUGGGCGUCACACACCGUUGCCCUCCCAACAUCACGUUCCUUCAAGGCUACGUUGGUUGUGAAGGCGCAUAUUGGCUUCCCGUGAGCUUUUGCCUUGUGGUUGGCCCAAAUUUUUAGUCAUUGGCGACCUGUGCCGCGACAAUGGUGGUUGUCGAAACUUCGGUGCCCUGUCGUGUGUGCGGGUUGUUAGUGAUACAAGGACCCAACGCAUCCAAUGUGAUGCCUCUUGAUGCGACCCCA